AUUGAACGCUGGCGGCAUGCUUUACACAUGCAAGUCGAACGGCAGCACGGGCUUCGGCCUGGUGGCGAGUGGCGAACGGGUGAGUAAUGCAUCGGAACGUGCCCAUUUGUGGGGGAUAACUACGCGAAAGCGUGGCUAAUACCGCAUACGCCCUGAGGGGGAAAGCGGGGGAUUCUUCGGAACCUCGCGCAAUUGGAGCGGCCGAUGUCAGAUUAGCUUGUUGGUGAGGUAAAGGCUCACCAAGGCGACGAUCUGUAGCGGGUCUGAGAGGAUGAUCCGCCACACUGGGACUGAGACACGGCCCAGACUCCUACGGGAGGCAGCAGUGGGGAAUUUUGGACAAUGGGGGCAACCCUGAUCCAGCCAUGCCGCGUGAGUGAAGAAGGCCUCGGUUGUAA
rnacentral:rRNA from 1 species